rnacentral:rRNA from 1 species
GUUGUCCGACUCUGUUGCCUCCGGGGCGACCCUGCCUUCGGGCGGGGGCUCCGGGUGGACACUUCAAACUCUUGCGUAACUUUGCAGUCUGAGUAAACUUAAUUAAUAAAUUAAAACUUUUAACAACGGAUCUCUUGGUUCUGGCAUCGAUGAAGAACGCAGCGAAAUGCGAUAAGUAAUGUGAAUUGCAGAAUUCAGUGAAUCAUCGAAUCUUUGAACGCACAUUGCGCCCCCUGGUAUUCCGGGGGGCAUGCCUGUUCGAGCGUCAUUUCACCACUCAAGCCUCGCUUGGUAUUGGGCAACGCGGUCCGCCGCGUGCCUCAAAUCGACCGGCUGGGUCUUCUGUCCCCUAAGCGUUGUGGAAACUAUUCGCUAAAGGAUGUUCGGGAGGCUACGCCGUAAAACAACCCCAUUUCUAAGGUUGACCUCGGAUCAGGUAGGGAUACCCGCUGAACUUAAGC